ACGAACCAGCGCCGCUGAUAUCCUUUGAUGUAAUUGGUCCAUUUGAAAAGCCAGCCCUCGCGGGCCGACCCGGAAGCGGAGCUGGUCGGCACGGAAGCGGAAGAAGAGCUCCCCCCUGAAGCUCCUGUCACCCCCCCGGGGGCCGGUCCCCCAGGGCCCAACGUGCCUCCUUCUCCUCUGGUGGCAUUGCCGCCGCCGGGCCCGGGGGAGGGCAAUGGGGUCGUUGGGCCGGGCCCACAGGUGCUCCCUGGGCCGGAGGCAUUGGAGCCGGCCGCUCCACCAGGCGCUGUCCCAGAGCUGACUCCCGCGACUCGCAACUCCGACAUCGCGCAGAGCAGCAGCUCCGCCGCCCCCGCGAGUCCCAACCGACUCUGCCAACCGGAGCCCAGGAACCACCGGAGGCUGAGCGCCUCCCUCCUCCUUGGCUUCGCCCUCCUCCCCCCCCCCUCAACGGUUGCAGCCAAUUCCGUCGCUCAGAAGGGGGUUUAAUCGAACGUCGUCACGGAGCAGAGACUAUUGGUUAGCUACAAGUGACAUUUUAGCCCCGGCGAUCAUAUGUGCGCGGAGUCCAGGAAUGGGAGCCCCAAAUCUUACGUUGUAUCUCUCAGACCCGAGCCAUCUCCUGUUUAUUGGGGAGACGUACUGAUUCCCAGGCGCGCUCCCUGGAUUUCGUCCUCAAUUCACGUUCUAGUCCAAACACUGGGCAGAUUGCCCGCAACCCAAUGUUAGACACUUAAGUCUUGUUCAUGGUAGCGGGACUUGCUGCUGCUGUGGGCUUAUCCUGUGUCUGUAAAGCUUGUAACUUCUCCCCGGCGACAGCGGGCUAGUCUUUUCGGCAGCGUGUAGAGCCGCACCCAGACCUCAAUCCAGGGUUUAGGAAACGGCAGACUAUCUGUGAUUCCGAUGCUGUCGAGUCAGGGGGACCCCAGAAAACGUUUAACAGCACAACCCCAUUUCCCGCUCUUUACAAUAAAAAGCUGGUCAAAAAAAAAAAAAA